rnacentral:rRNA from 1 species
AGUGAACGCUGGCGGCGUGCUUAACACAUGCAAGUCGAACGAGAACGGACUUAAGCUUGCUUAAGUUGUCAGCUAAGUGGCGCACGGGUGAGUAAUGUAUAGUUAACCUGCCCUCUAGAGAGGAAUAACAGUUGUAAACGACUGCUAAUGCCUUAUAUGCCUUUAAGACAGAAGUCUGCAAGGGAAAUGCUUUAGUGCUAGAGGAUGGGACUGUAUGGUAUCAGUUAGUUGGUGGGGUAAUGGCUUACCAAGACAAUGACGCCUAACUGGUUUGAGAGGAUGAUCAGUCACACUGGAACUGAGACACGGUCCAGACUCCUACGGGAGCAGCAGUGGGGAAUUUUCCGCAAUGGGCGAAAGCCUGACGGAGCAAGACCGCGUGGGGGAGGAA